rnacentral:rRNA from 1 species
UACGUAGGUGGCAAGCGUUGUCCGGAUUUACUGGGCGUAAAGAGCGCGCAGGCGGUCGUUCAAGUCGCGUGUGAAAGCCCCCCGGCUCAACUGGGGAGGGUCACGCGAUACUGAUCGACUGAAGGCAGGAGAGGGUAGUGGAAUUCCCCGGUGUAGUGGUGAAAUGCGUAGAGUAUCGUAAGGAAGACCAGUGGCGAAGGCGAGUCUCUGGACAGCAACUGACGCUGAGGCACGAAGGCCAGGGGAGCAAACGGG